GCCAGACGCACUGAUGUAAUCUUUCAUUUGAGGUGCAGGGCCUUUUCACCUCUUGUCUUGUGCAUCUCCAAACAGAAGUCAUUCAUCAUUCAGGCACUAAAUUGUUUGGCUGAUUUUUUUUUAUUUUAUUUUAUUUAUGUUAUUAAUCUUUGUGAUUUAAAUGCGUUUAAAGUGGAGCUCGGAGUGCUAGCAGCCUCUCUGACACCUCAUGCAAUAACGAAAUUUCGAUUGUGACGGGAAAUUGGAGUGAAAGUGCUAUCCGCUCGAGCGGUCCGCUGCUCUUCUUCUACGUUUUUAAUCCGAGUUUAUAUUAUUUUAAUAAUAACACCGUAUUUUUUAUCCUUUUAUCCUUUUUUUAUCCUAUCGAAUCCUAUCCUCUUUUCUAAGAAGCGAAAAAAUGAAGGGAAGAAAAAAAAACAUCAAGGUGUCCGAGGGUUUCUCUCGUGUUCUGCUCCCCGCGUGCAAAUAACCGUUGGAGCUUUUUGGCCCGUGACUGUGCGCGUGUGAUGCCCCUGAUUUAGCUUCCUAUUCAUUCUAAACAGCGGCUCUCUCCCUCUCUCGCACUCACACAAACACACCGCCAUCUCGAGACACAAGGACCAAAGACGAGAUGGAGGAAACUAAUAACGGGCUGGGUGUGUGUGUGCGUGUGGGGGUGCAAAGCAGCCUCAGCAAGCCCAGCUCCUUCUUAUGACCCGCCGGCAAAGCCUCCUCAGAGAAACGGGCGCUCAGCAUCAUCAGCAUCCAGUGACGACGUCCAUGAGGAGAUGAAGGUGAGCCAGCCUUUCUGAUCAAAGCACCCGUCUAUAAAGCUCAAGGCUGGCCUUCCUCGGUGGUGAAAACUACUACUACAAAGCCAGCAGGGAAGACGAGGGAGAAGAUGCGGGCCGAUACCAAACUACUGCAUCAACAAGAAAAACUUUACAAUGGCAGCUUGGAUGGAAGUGAAACUGUUUUGUUAGAGAUCCUCGGACCAAGAUAGGCAACAGAGAAAACCUGCACUAGCAUCGAGAAGCACAUUCCUGGAGUUGUGUUACUUUGAGCAUAACUGUCUGAAAAAAAAUAAAACUACUACAAAA
ensembl:lncRNA